GCGGGAAUGACGUGGCAGAGGAGGAAGCAACAAGCUGAAAUCGAAGUUUUCUCACCGGCGAUACUAUCCCGACUCUUUCGAUCCGGAGCCGUUAAAAGAUCCGCCGCAGACCUCGGCGUCCUCCGGCACCGGAAACGAUAAGAUCCGCUACCGUUCGCCUCCCUCCACUGAGCUCAUGGAGUCCGAACAGCCACGGUUUGAUAUUGAUGCUGGAACCUCUGGAAUUUGGAUCGAAAUUAGGAUAUUCUUCCUCUUGGGAAUGAACCUGAGCUCUUCGUGCAGCUUAAACCGUGUACUAUAUUGCACAUGCUCUGGGGAAGACCAAGUAUCCGGACUCUGACAUUUACUGGAAAAAUUUCGAAAACAAGUACCACUUCUCUUGUCGGUUCACAACUGACUUCAUCAUCACUAGCACUUACCAAGAGAUCGCAGGAACGAAGAACACGGUCGGUCAGUAUGAAAGCAAUUGAGCUUUUACACUCCCGGGACUAUACAGAGUAGUUCACGGCAUCAAUGUGUUUGAUCCAGAGUUCAACAUAGUCCACCAGGAGCAGACAUGACUAUUUACUUACCUUUUACUGAAAAAGAUAAAUAGAGUGCAUAAUGGUUAGUUGAAAUCAUCAGGCUGCUCUCGAGGGGACUGCGUAAGUCCCAACUUAUUUGGUUCUCUUUUGUCUUCUUCCACAUGCUAUGCUGUGCACUAUCUGAUAGGUACAAGAAGGUCUGUAUCCGUAAGAGGAAGAAAGGAGUAUUGAGUAAUGAGAGUGUGGAGUUGGAGGAAGAGCGGGAAGAUUUAAAUCAGUUAGAAGAGUAAAGCAAAGACUCUAAUUGAAGUAGAGGGUUUGCCGUUACAUCUCAGCUGAGCUAAGGAGCGAAGACUACUAAUAAGUGGAGGGAGUGUGUUUGUAUUCUUUAUGCUUGAUUGUUGUAUGUUCUUGACGUUAUGAGUCUUGAGCUCUCGAUCGUUAUGAGAUCGAGGAAUUUGAGUAUUGUACUCGUCAUGAGAGUACUUGCUUGA